ACGAACGCUGGCGGCGUGCUUAACCCAUGCAAGUCGAACGGAAAGGCCCUGCUUUUGUGGGGUGCUCGAGUGGCGAACGGGUGAGUAACACGUGAGUAGCCUGCCCUUGACUUUGGGAUAACUUCAGGAAACUGGGGCUAAUACCGGAUAGGAGCUCCUGCUGCAUGGUGGGGGUUGGAAAGUUUCGGCGGUUGGGGAUGGACUCGCGGCUUAUCAGCUUGUUGGUGGGGUAGUGGCUUACCAAGGCUUUGACGGGUAGCCGGCCUGAGAGGGUGACCGGCCACAUUGGGACUGAGAUACGGCCCAGACUCCUACGGGAGGCAGCAGUGGGGAAUAUUGCACAAUGGGCGGAAGCCUGAUGCAGCAACGCCGCGUGCGGGAUGACGGCCUUCGGGUUGUAAACCGCUUUCGCCUGUGACGAAGCGUGAGUGACGGUAAUGGGUAAAGAAGCACCGGCUAACUACGUG
rnacentral:rRNA from 1 species